UACGUAGGGGGCAAGCGUUGUCCGGAUUUAUUGGGCGUAAAGAGCGUGUAGGCGGCCAGGUAGGUCGGUUGUGAAAACUCGAGGCUCAACCUCGAGAUGUCGACCGAAACCAUCUGGCUAGAGUCCGGAAGAGGAGAAUGGAAUUCCCGGUGUAGCGGUGAAAUGCGCAGAUAUCGGGAAGAACACCCGUGGCGAAGGCGGUUCUCUGGGCAAUAACUGACGCUGAGGAGCGAAAGCGUGGGGAGCGAACAGG
rnacentral:rRNA from 1 species